UACGUAGGGGGCUAGCGUUGCUCGGAAUUACUGGGCGUAAAGCGCACGUAGGCGGCUUGUUAAGUCAGGGGUGAAAUCCUGGAGCUCAACUCCAGAACUGCCUUUGAUACUGGCGAGCUUGAGUUCGGGAGAGGUGAGUGGAACUGCGAGUGUAGAGGUGAAAUUCGUAGAUAUUCGCAAGAACACCAGUGGCGAAGGCGGCUCACUGGCCCGAUACUGACGCUGAGGUGCGAAAGCGUGGGGAGCGAACAGG
rnacentral:rRNA from 1 species